GUCAUUGAGUCCAACCUAUAUCCAAGGAAAAGGGAUUAUACAAAGGCAUGAGUACAAGGAGGGGUGACUGGUAACAAUUUUAGAGUCUGCCUAAAAAAAAUGUUUUUAAACAAAGCAGGUUCUGAUUGGUCUCAUUCUACAACUGAGGGCACCGAGGAUGAGUAGAUAGUUCCUGGAAAGACUUUCUGGACAGAUGAGCCAACAAUUGACACCUGAGCUACCUGAACAACUGCCUGUGAAAGCAUAUUUCUUCUGUGCUUUGAGGAAGAGCUUGUGAAGCUGACAGCCCUGCUGCUCCAUUCCAGGCUAGCUCUUGAAAAGGAGAAAGGAGAAGCAUGUCUGUUUCCAUCAGUGUACCUCUCUUUGUCGUGUCAUCUUGAGCUCCGCCUUUUAUACCAAGCUUUGGGAUGAGGCUCCUGAGGACUUCAAGUUCCAUGAUCCAGAACCAGUCUCCUUGGGACAUAUAUUCCUGCAGCUUUCCUCUUUCAGGAUUUCGUAACACGUGGAUGGUUCAGAGGGGUGGGCUGCAGGUCCCUACCAUUCAACACCCAAUUCUCCCAAACUCUGGAGAACUGACUUUCUUCCUCAAAUAAAGUCAUUCCAUAUAUCCAUGCAAA